ensembl:lncRNA
AUGUACUUUUCUUUCUCUAUCAGAGUGUGGCCAAAGGUUUCAUUGGUGCUUUGUCAUCAUUGCAAGAUUUCAGAUCAGUUCUUUCAAGGCACCAAACACUGGCACGUGACCAGACUGCUCCACUGCAACUACAUACUAUGUGUACUUUCAAGACUAGGAUUUUUUGUUUUCAUUCCAGAUGACAGCCCUGAAUAUCAGCAGAGACCAAGUCAGCUAGAUGAGCCCCAGAGACAGAUCCUCUCCGAAGACCUCAUUGGCCAUCGGGACAAGACCAAGAGAACCAGACAAGUGCUCUGCUCAAUCUGACCUGUGUUGCAGCCUAGAAUUAAACUACACCAUGCUGUUUUUUUUUUCUGUCUAGAGACUGUGCCUGGUUGCUCCCAAGGUUUUCUACUCAAUCUCUGUCACCGAUGGAGUUUUGGCUCCUUGCCGAUGUCGCCUUUGGUUUGCUUAUUUGGGGAUACUUGACUGAUCGCACAGACAUUAUUGGAAAAGAGCUAAACUGGAUGAUGUCAACACUGAAUCACCAGUGAACUGACUUUAGCUGGAAAAAUGACUCGUUAAUGUCCUCUUGCAUUAUUGACAAUCUAUUUUCCUGUUUGGCUCUGUAAAGCUGCUUUGACACAAUCAGUAUUAGAAAUAGAGGUGACUUGAUUUGAUUUUAUAUACUGUAACACCUGGUUCAUUUAAUUAUUUACUUCUGCCUCAUUUUAAAAAUGUAAUUGUGAACAGUAAUAAUAUUUGUAAAAGUUUAUUUGCUAACAUUUUGUUUAGCUUUAGUUUUUUUUCUUAGUUCAUUAAACAAAGUUUAAACUGAAUUUUGCAGUUGUUUUACAGAUGUAAUGUUUGUCAACUGGAGGUUUAAAGGGAUAGUUUGUUAAUUUACUGACCCUUAGGCCAUCCAAGAUGUAGAUGACUUUUUUCUUAAUUUCCUGUAUGUUCAGUUUGUUUGAAAAAUGUUAUAAAUGGAGAUUAAAUAAAGGCUAUUAUGUGUUGUAAAGUGUAUUUUUA